GAUGAACGCUGGCGGCGUGCCUAAUACAUGCAAGUCGAGCGAACGGACGAGAAGCUUGCUGCUCUGAUGUUAGCGGCGGACGGGUGAGUAACACGUGGAUAACCUACCUAUAAGACUGGGAUAACUUCGGGAAACCGGAGCUAAUACCGGAUAAUAUUUUGAACCGCAUGGUUCAAAAGUGAAAGACGGUCUUGCUGUCACUUAUAGAUGGAUCCGCGCUGCAUUAGCUAGUUGGUAAGGUAACGGCUUACCAAGGCAACGAUGCAUAGCCGACCUGAGAGGGUGAUCGCCCACACUGGAACUGAGACACGGUCCAGACUCCUACGGGAGGCAGCAGUAGGGAAUCUUCCGCAAUGGGCGAAAGCCUGACGGAGCAACGCCGCGUGAGUGAUGAAGGUCUUCGGAUCGUAAAACUCUGUUAUUAGGGAAGAACAUAUGUGUAAGUAACUGUGCACAUCUUGACGGUACCUAAUCAGAAAGCCACGGCUAACUACGUG
rnacentral:rRNA from 1 species